GGGGGUUUAGCUCAGCGGUAGAGCACUUGCCUAGCAAGCAUAAGGCCCUGGGUUCGAGCCCCAGCUCCA
rnacentral:tRNA from 1 species